UACGGAGGGUGCGAGCGUUGUCCGGAAUCACUGGGCGUAAAGGGCGCGUAGGCGGUCUGUUAAGCGUGUGGUGAAAGCUCGGGGCUCAACCCCGAGUCUGCCAUGCGAACUGGUGGACUUGAGCACUGUAGAGGCAGGUGGAAUUCCGGGUGUAGCGGUGGAAUGCGUAGAGAUCCGGAAGAACACCGGUGGCGAAGGCGGCCUGCUGGGCAGUUGCUGACGCUGAGGCGCGACAGCGUGGGGAGCAAACAGG
rnacentral:rRNA from 2 species